GUGUUGCUAAUCGGCACAGAGAGAUCUGAAUUGAAUCCUCCAGAGAGAUGCAUUGGAAAGUUUUCUGCAGGUACUUGUUAAUUCUCUGCUACAGGUUCCAUGGCAGUGCAGCUGUGUCCCAUCCCCUUCCGCCAUCACUUAUGCAGGGACAAAAAUGGAAUAUAGUGGGGCUCUUGAGUUCGAGACACGCACCCCAGCAGAAUAGCUCCAGCAGACAAGAAAGAGGCCAAGAUGCCGCAGAGAGGAUAUGGUUAGGGAGGUGAUACAACACUCCUCUGCAGUGUCAAGGAGAUGAGAGGAGCACUAGGAAGCAGAAAAGGCAGAAAAAUCAAGUUUUUGCUCAAGACACCACUGACGAGAUGAUAAAGCUUGUGUCUCUCAUGAACAGAGGUUUUAAUUUACUAAAAUGUUGCCCACUCACAAAUCCUGGUCAAAUUCAAGAUCCAGUCUGUCUAAUAAAAGUCAUGUACUGAAGUUUAUGCACAGACAUGUGUUAUUGAUUGGUUGGAAAGUUGCCCAUCAGCCUCUGUAAUUAUAGAAUCCCAAUUGUAUUGUAACUUUUGGGCAAACAUUGCCAAAUUAUUGAUCUUUUUAUAACAAUAUAUAUACU